rnacentral:lncRNA from 10 species
ACCCUGAUUCUCCAGCUGGCCUGGAGACCUAUUUCAAGCUCCUGACAGAGGAAUGCAUGGCAGAGCAUGUGAAGCGGGGUGUGAUGUGGGGGCAGGGAAUCCAACCCACGAAUUGGAUUUUACAAUGGCACGCCCACUGCUGCCAAGGGGAAGUGGGAAGCAGGAAUUAAAGCAAUGGAGCAAUGGUUUGAGUCACCCUCUCUGCGCCAGAACAUUCUGAGAAAUCGCUGGUUCGUACUCCAAAACUCCUUUCCCUGGGACAGGAGCUCCUCUAUAUCAUCAGAGGCAACGGGGUACCCAGAGGCUGCUUGGAUACCAUCAGUGACAGGGAGCUCACUCCUCUAAGCAUGGAUCAGCAAACUGAGGUCUGGAGAGAUGAAGUGACAGGCACAAGCGGGAAGCUUCAGGGAGGAAGGCUGCGGGCUGGAGAGAACCUGAGGCUGAGUUUCUUCCAUUUCAUCCAGCGCAUUCACCAAAGCACCCUGUGUGCCGAGGGCAGCGGGGGCCGUACCCUCCCGGAGCUCACGAAUGGGUGAGGGAGAAGCCCCUAGGCGGAGAAACUUACAAUCCCAUGUGGACAUGUGAACUCAGUGAGAGGAGGUGCUGCGGUGAGGGCCACUUCUUGGAGAUUUGGGAAAAGGAGCAGGAUGUUUCUGGCAGUGAGGCUGGGAAGGGCAUCCUUCAUAGCAGAGGGAAGCUGUGAGCAGAGCAGAGGCUGAGGACGACUCCACCCAAGGGGACCGGUGGGGCAGGGGCUGUGCCAGGGCUUGACCCGGAGCUCUGGGCUGUGUCCAGUUCCCUUCAAAUGAGAAAGAAGGCGCCAGAGGUGCAGGGGACAGGGGAUGCCUGCCAGCCAGGCCCCAUCUCCUCUGCUGUUUAGGGACUCGGGUUGGAAUUUCCACGACACUAUUUGGGGGAGGAUGAGGGAGCUGGUGGGAAAUGGGUUUGGGGGCGCGAGGCUUGAUAUCAUUUCUUCCGAUAAAGAGGCAUUGGCUCAGCUUUUCUGUCUUCUGCUUAAUCACUUUCAGAGGCUCAUUAGACUUAGAGGAAAUACACUUGCAAACUCAAACCACAUGCCACCCUCAGAGUACAUACUCCCAUCCCCAAAGCACACGUACCUCAGAG